rnacentral:rRNA from 1 species
CUACGUGCCAGCAGCCGCGGUAAUACGUAGGGUGCGAGCGUUAAUCGGAAUUACUGGGCGUAAAGCGGGCGCAGACGGUUACUUAAGCAGGAUGUGAAAUCCCCGGGCUUAACCUGGGAACUGCGUUCUGAACUGGGUGACUAGAGUGUGUCAGAGGGAGGUAGAAUUCCACGUGUAGCAGUGAAAUGCGUAGAGAUGUGGAGGAAUACCGAUGGCGAAGGCAGCCUCCUGGGAUAACACUGACGUUCAUGCUCGAAAGCGUGGGUAGCAAACAGGAUUAGAUACCCUGGUAGUCCACGCCCUAAACGAUGUCAAUUAGCUGUUGGGCAACUUGAUUGCUUAGUAGCGUAGCUAACGCGUGAAAUUGACCGCCUGGGGAGUACGGUCGCAAGAUUAAAACUCAAAGGAAUUGACGGGGACCCGCMCAAGCGGUGGAUGAUGUGGAUUAAUUCGAUGCAACGCGAAGAACCUUACCKGUCUUGACAU